UAUACAUAUAAAGUCGAACAGAUGCCAGAGCGUCGAGGGAGUGCGCGAAUUGUCUCUAGGGGUUAUUUUCGGUCAAUUAUCAUCCCGGGGAUCGAGUAUAUAUAGGAGGAAAAAUCAGCCCAUCAAUUCUCCCUUGCUCCCUCCCAACAGCUUAGGCCGAGUGAGUUUUAUAUUUAGUUUAGAGCCUCGACUUACGCACUCCACCGUUCAUAUAGAAAUGUACAUAAUACAUACGUAUUGUGCACUUGCACUUUCUUCCAAGAGUCAUCGGUAAAUACUUCUGACUACGUGAUUUUUUUUUUAUGUAAUUAUCCCCGGCGAAUGACGCCCUCAGUGAUACUACCAUAGAUAUAUGUUCGAUAUAUCUAUGAUGUAUGUAUUAUUCUAUGUAUUUACUUUUCACUUGUACGUGUAAUAUACGGCCAACGGGAGCUAUUGGAAGCCUGAAGAUAAACCACAUACAUAUAUCACCAUUUAUGUAACACAUAGUACGUACAUAUACGUUAUGUACAUGCACAGAAAUCCAUGUGUCUAUCAAUCACGAUUACGAGUUACGACCCCCCCAUGGUCAGAAAAAACCAAAUGGUGUGGCUUCUUCGACUCUGUUUUUUUUUUUUUUAUGUUAUCGAAAAGACGUUUGCGAUUCGAAGUUUAUGAUCACGGUGGAAAUAUCAAUGAGAGUAAUUUGAGCGUAGAACAUUAAUUGAUGCCAAGGAAAUAUAAAAUAAAGGAAGGAAAUUGAAAAAAGCAACGAAAAAAAUGAAUAGAAUGAGACAUAUUUUUGUGUAUAACGUGUCCUUGUAACAAUCGUCCGACUUUCAUUUCCCGCGCUUUUUAAUAUUUUAUCAACGUAGCGUGUAAGUUAUACGGAUACAGAAAGAGAAAAAUAAAAAUAAAGAAUAGGAUAAAGAGGAGCAGAUAAUGUAAAACAAAUGGAAGAAUACGUAUACCCGUAAGUAAGAAAAAAUAAAACACGUAGAUGUACGUAUUACACUCGGGUUGCAUUCGCUUUGGCGAACGUUGUCGUUUGUCUGCAAUUGAAAUUUCCGCAUUCGAAUCGAGAUUUGAACUUCAAAGUUUAUUCUUGUAGCAUUGUGUGCACGUAUCGCGCAGACACAAGAUAUUCGUACGAACAAUAUGCAUGGCCUUUUUAUUUUUCGAAAUUCAUUGAAACGCUAACAUCGAUUGGCUCCGUCACGGCUAUCGAUUCGCAAUAAAAUAGGUACCAUACCUUUCUCGACAAUGCCAAAAGCUCCUUUUCCUUACAACGAGUCCGCACGAAAGUAAUUUUCUGUGGACUCAAUGCGAAAAAAAAUGUUCGUUAAAAGUCAAACGUCUUCCGACAUUUUUACUCCAUUUAUCGUUGGAUACGCUUAAAGACAAACGCACGUUGUUUGUGCGCCGAAUUACGUUUUUUCUCUCGAGCCAAAGAGCUGCGAAAAUUUUCAAGAACUAAACAAAGAACUGAGAGCAAAAGAACGAACAGACACUCCCGCAGUCGGUGUAGUACGGGGUGCGGUGAAGAGAACUCUCCACAAAAAAGGAAAAAAAAAUCUUUUAUCUCAAAGACCUAUAGCUCCGGAUUUUCGGAGGUUCAAUUAUUUCUACAAUAAUACAAGCGCGGGAAACUCUAGAAGAAACAAGAGAUACCCCAUCACAGCUGCUUGGGGCAAUCGCGAUAAAAGAAGACAAACAAACAAACAAACAAACAAACACUGUAAUUCUUCUUUCGGUUCGUAUUCUUUUUUUUUUUUUUUUUUUUUUAUUUAAACGUCGCUCUAUAAAUUCCGUUGUUCAUCUGAAAAAUUUUCCUGCCCUCGUCCCUUUUUGCGCUUGAAUUUUACGACGGAAAAAAAUAAUCAAAUAUAUCUACCACGCGAUUUUCUCCGCUUUGCUAUUUUCUUAGCGUUAUUUCGUUUGAAAAGAAUAGAAAUGAAGAAUCAUCCCUUUUUUGCCGAGGUGAAAAAUGUGUGGAUUAUUAGGUAGAUGCAUGUAGAUGUGAUAAAAUGGGAUAUACAUACCAUGAGCUCGUAAAAGGUACCUGCACACACGCUCGCACGCAGGGAUAUAGAUGUGUAAUGGAGUCGCAAAUCCUCCCCAUUCUACGAACUUAGCCCCCAGGCGGGCACUGUGUUAAUUAAUCUGACAGCUAUGAGCUAACCCAAACACCCUUUUUACCGUGCUUUCAGGAUCCUUGGUGGUGUUUCGCUCUUGGCUCGAAUAUACCUAUGCGUAUAACAGUGUAGGUAUCUGUACAUUAUACACGUGAUUAAAAAGAAAAAAAAAAAAAGUAAAUGAACAGGGAGAACGACAGAUUUUCGCGGAAAAUGGGCAGAAAUCAUGGGCCGCAGGCUGUUUGUAUAUGGGGGUACAAUUUUCGCGACACCCCAUCACGUUUGAUCGAAGAGGGAUGAGAAAAAAAGGAAAAAAGUGUUCUUUCCCUCCUACCUAAUCGGGUAAUUAAUCAUAAAUGAUUUAAUAUGUAAUUUACUUACUUUUCAUCCACCUUUGUAUACACAUAGAAUUUUACACGUUAUACCCCCGUUUGAACUGUGACCGCAGUGGUCGUCACUUGUCUUAUCGUCAACAAAGAUGGCGGCGUGCGAUCGCCCUUUUUUUUUUCCUAGUGGCGCUCGAACGUCACCGCGAUGUAUCAGGUAUUCCGAAUGUCAUUUGUUUUGGCUGAUGUUUGUAUGAUGUAGUGAGCUAAUUAAAUUCGGUGUAAUUGUGCUCGAGUUCUUUCAAACAAUACGCGCUGUGAUGAAUCCUGCCGUGUCACAAACAUGCCUGGCUUGGAAUCGCUGUAAUCGCUUUAUGGGUUCUGCAACCUUCUGGUCCUCGGCUAUCGAACACCUCGACGGUCGAGCGAACGUCACCCAGGACUCUGCUACGUAAACUGACUGCAGCAACGGUGAAAAAUGAGCUGACUUAUGGGAUUAUUUGAGGAAAAAAAAAAAUGGAGAAGAUGAAGAAGAAGAAGAAGAAAAAAAAAGAAAUACCCUCGACGAAAAUGAAAACGCAGGCACACGACGCGGGAUAAACUUAACGCUGGCAGCUAUAAAUUUUCGUUAACCGACUAAUAAUGAUGUACGCAACGUUAGUCUUCGACUGAGAUACCGGACGAAAGUAUAUAGUCGUGAAAUGCAUCUAAUACGAAGAAUAACGGGAGAGGCAUGCAUGGAAGGAAAUCAUAAACUCCUCGACACCUCCGUUCUCCUGGACAAACAAGAAGCUAGAGCUCUGCGGACGACUGAGACGCGUUUUCAGACUAAACGAGAGGAAACCUUAAUAAUAUACUGUGAGAGGGAGAAGAAGAAGAAGAAGAAGAGGUCAAAGAAGACGCGUCCAUUAAUUCACCACGGGUAGUACGGUGGCAGCUUUUCAAGUUUGAGCCACGAGGACGCUCGUCGGAGGGUGAAGGAGAGCAAGGGAGACGAAGAAUCGAGGAGGAAAGGGAAGUUUAAAUGGAAUGAGAGCGCUUUCGGGGCACUGCGAGCUAAUUCUCGUACCGCUUCGAAUACACGAAAAGGGAAAGAAGAAAAAUAAAGAUCACGAGGAAGAGGGGGAGGAGGGGGGGAGGGGGGGAGGGGGAGGAGGCCUGAAGUCAAUUUGUCGGGGAAUGCGUGCGGUAGCAACACGUGCGCGCCACUCUGAAGCAUCAAGAGCACAACUCUCUUAAUUUUCAUUCUCUUAUAAUACCCUAUAGGUAUAUCGUACCUAUACACCCUCCUCUCUUUCAUCAGAGGGACGAUAAACGAAAAACGAAACCAGACCGAGAAGCUGACGGACUGCUCUUUUCAACUUUUCGAACCAACUUGUACGUAUAAUAAAAAUGACGAUUGGGAAAACAUUCUCAUCCGCACGUUCUUCAACGCGUCAAUUCUAAUUCCGUUUCUUUCCCUUAAGUUUUUUUGUUGUUUUUUUUUUCAUUUCGUCUCAUUCGUCUCCUUCGCAUUUCCAACGCGAUCUCGAGACUUCGUUCGUACAACGUGAAAGUGACUGGCGAAUCGCUAGUUCCUAAUUGACGUCCCAUGAAAAUCGAUUAAUCCGAACAAAAAUACAAAAAUCCCUCGAACCGCAAAAAACUAUUUACAGAUAUAAUAGAACAGGAAAAUCGACACGUUCGUAUUUCAAUCGUAAGAAUCUCUGUUACUUUAGGCAGCUAAUACACGACACAAAAAUUUAUAGAACUCACAAGAUCGAAUAAAUCACUUAUAAAUGAUAAUCCCAAGAGAGUAUUACGAUCUCCGCAUCUAAUGUUUGCCAACAGGGGAUGAUCUUUUGAAAAAAGAAAAGUAGGUGAGCCGCGUCGUCGCCCGCCUGUGAUCCGCACGCGGCAAAGUAGUACAUAAAAUCUAUGUAUCGCAUCCCGCGUGUACACAUGGAUGUACGCAUCUAUAAUAGAUGGAGAAAGUAUGUACAUCCCGCACGCGGUGGAUCCUUCGUCCUUUUCGUUCUCCUCCUCGAUAAAGAAUUUCUCUUCACCUCGUACGAAAUCGAGGCUACGUUCCAUGGCUACGUAUAUUCGUAAUCAGCACGAUGAUAACGUGUGUCACACGGAGUCGCGCUGUGUACGGUACGAACGUAUAGCCCAUACAUGUAUGUAUAUGUAAACGCGUUGUAUAUAUUCGCGUGUUAUACUAUAGAUGGUAUUAGUAGGUAUUAGGUGUUGGCCUGGGAACAAGUGCACAUGCUAUGAUCCCGGCCCAUCCCUUCGAGUUCGGAUAAUUCUUUAAGUGCUUCCUCCCCCACCCUAUUUUACGCCCUGGAACAUUCUCUGCCAACCAACCAACCAACGACCUCCUCCUCAACACCUGCGACAACCCACCCGCAAGAAAAUCGAAAAAAUAUAUUCUCCCAUUCUACCGAGUUGUACGUCUAUUUUUAUCUAUAUAUAUAUAUUGUAUAAAUUGUUAACACGAGUACGUCGUAGCGUGACGUGAUAUUUUUUUUUUCCACACAAGGUACGAUAACCGACGUACGAUUUUGAAAAAUUGAAGUUUUGUUCGCUCCUCUCGAAAUCUUUGUGGAAAAGAAAUUCGGAUGAAAUUUGAACGCGACGUUUAUAGGUUGAGGAUAGAUGGGGGAGAUGUGUUAGUUCCUAUGUUUUUGCUCCACCUUUUUUCGAUAUUUCUUUUUCUCUUUUCCCGAGCAAUUUGUUCGCGCUAAAGUAUAUCGAGAGGGGAGAUAAAGAGAGGAAGCUAUACAGAAAGUGUAGAAAUAUUGGCUGGUUGGUUUGUUCUGUCUCCAUCCGUGCUAUAACUUAACGCCUGUGUCCGUCGUCUGUUUCGAUAUAUAUGAGCGUACGGCAGAAGAAGUAGGAGAAGAUGGAGACGAAAAGAAGAAGAUGCCCUAGAGGGCCACCCACAGCCUCCGCACUUCAGCUGAACGAGCAUCUGGAGGAAAUUAGCUGCUAGCUACUAAACCAUAUACCAAAACUACUAAGUGAGGAAGAAGCGAAAAAUGAGGGCAAAAAAUGAAUAAAAGAAAUUAAAAA